rnacentral:lncRNA from 1 species
UUAUUUCUCUUUCUCCCCCAAAACUCUCUAAAAUCUCAUAACAAACUCUCAACUCAAUCUUAUUUCUAUUUUCAAAUCUUAAUCUAUUAAAUAACAACAUAAGCCACUUAAUAAAUCACAUAAUCAAAUAAAUAUAUUUUAAACUCUUCUUAAUAAAUUUUAGACUCAAUUAAAUAAUUAAAUAAAUCAAAUAAUUCAAAGAGGGCGUUACAACUCCACCCCCCUUAAAAGAAUUUCGUCCUCGAAAUUCAAAGCACACAAGAAAGGAAUUCAAUUAUUGCCUAAACAUCUUAAACCAAACAUAGCCAAAUAGAAACUUCAAACAAAACAUGUAAGCCACAUCAAAGUUAGUCAAUCAAACAUGAUCACAUAAUAAACAUAACAAUUAGUCAGAAAACACAACAACAAUCAAGACAACAUAAGACAGUAUUUCAACUGUCACACGACUUGACACGACUCAACUACUUGGCCGGACGGACCGACCUGCUCUGAUACCAAUUGUAACACCCCGUUUUCCCAACAUAAAAAUUUCGCAUAAAUAAUCAG